UACGUAGGGUGCAAGCGUUAAUCGGAAUUACUGGGCGUAAAGCGUGCGCAGGCGGUUUUGUAAGUCUGUCGUGAAAGCCCCGGGCUCAACCUGGGAAUGGCGAUGAAGACUGCAAGGCUAGAGUUUGGCAGAGGGGGGUAGAAUUCCACGUGUAGCAGUGAAAUGCGUAGAUAUGUGGAGGAACACCGAUGGCGAAGGCAGCCCCCUGGGUCAAAACUGACGCUCAUGCACGAAAGCGUGGGGAGCAAACAGG
rnacentral:rRNA from 1 species